AAUAAAACAUAACUUUCUAAAAGUUUUAUAUUGUGUCAAAAAAUAUAUAAAAACUUUUAAUUAAUAAUUGACACGCUUAAGAUAAGAAGCACUUAAGAAAAAUUGUCUAAGUAAUUCCCAAGAAGAACUUUCAUUUAAAGUUUUAUUGUUUAUUUGCAUACUUAAAGAGAAUGGCCUACAAGGAGCUGAGGAAGGCAGAUGCGGGACCUAAAGGAUCGGCUUUGUAUAUGUUACCGGUUAUAGAAAUAUAAAAAUCCUCCCCGCCCGCCACGAAAGGCUCGAAGGCAAAGAGAUCGGUUUCGGCCCAUGCAAUAUGUAUUGACGCGCGAUGUUCUAUUGGCGUUUUAUUGUUAUGCCCCCUACCCUUUCAUGUCCCGAACCAUCCCCGGUCUUCUCGGCGAAAGAAUCCCGCAUGGAGCGUUUCGCCGUUGUCCUUGAAGCGCAUGGUUUUAUUUUUAUGCGCCGCGAUGCAAGGCGGAAGCAAGCGGGACAAGAAGGAAGAUUUCCGAAUAGUCGGGACGGGGAGACAAAGUUGACCUCGUAAUUUUCGUCGGGGUUUCGCUGGGGACACUUUAGAUCGUUCUCCUAUCCCGUCGUCUGGCUUCCUAUCUUCACCCGUUUCUUUACUUCUUUCUCCGCCCGUCAUUACCAGGAGUACCCGAGAGAGAUCAUCCCCAGCGGGGAAUACCCAGCGCGAUUUACCGAAAACGGACUUACUUUAUGGAAACCGACGACGCGUAUUACGGAACGUCCGUUUCCGAUGAGACGAUGAGAUGGGACGACGAUACGCGACAACACGAUGAUUUUCCGUGGUAGGAUACACGUAAUUUCCUUAACUGUCCUCCCCCAGGAGCGGACGGUGUACUCCGCGGAAGGUACUCGCUCGGGAAUCGUGUGUAAGCAAAACGUGAUUGCGUAGUAGCGUUUAAACGGAGACAGAAAUACAGCCUGCGAAGGUACGACGAGAGAGCUAUAAUGGCGGAAAUAUCAUCGUAGUAGUCAAGCUUGCACUUUCCGCCUAAGAAUCUGAACUUGCGAAAAUCAUCAAAACUCUCGAAACUUGGUUCUCGUCUAAAUGAACAUUGCAAUAAUCGCCGUACCGCCGGGACGUGUCUUCGGGGAAUCGGAUAGCCGGAUGAUAUUCAACAACAUCGUAAUCAUGUGCUACGGAUUAAGAUUGCACUUUUAGAUGAUUAAAAUCUAUCUCACGUGUUGCUCACGUCACGAAAUCCUCAUUUUCAUAAUUUACGUAUCAUUCAACAAACAUGUUCGAUAUUACAAAAUACGAAGAAUUCAAACAAUAAUCAAACUUUAAUUCAAAAUAAUUAUUGUAAUUAUUAUAAAAGAUUAACAGUCCAAUUAACCCAAAUGA